CCUACGGGUGGCAGCAGUGGGGGAUAUUGCACAAUGGGGGAAACCCUGAUGCAGCGACGCCGCGUGGGGGAAGACGGUCCUCUGGAUUGUAAACCACUGUCACCAGGGAAGAAGAUGACGGGACCGGGGGAGGAAGCGCCGGCUAACUACGUGCCAGCAGCCGCGGUAAUACGUAGGGAGCUAGCGUUGUCCGGAAGUACUGGGGGGAACGGGAGCGAAGGCGGGACUGCAAGUGGGGUGUCAAAUCUACCGGCUCCACCGGUAGCCGCACUCAAAACUGCAGUUCUUGAGUGAAGUAGAGGCAGGCGGCAUUCCUAUUGUAGCGGUGCAAUGCGUAGAUCUUCGGCGGAACACCAGUGGCGAAGGCGGCCUGCUGGGCUUUUCCUGACGCUGAGGCUCGACAGUGUGGGGCGCACACAGGAUUCGAUACCCGGGUAGUC
rnacentral:rRNA from 1 species